CUCAUGUGCUGAGUGAUGUUUACUACUCAACUGUCACUGCCAUAGUGCUAGUUAGCCUUGCAGUCAAUCCAGUCGGAUUAUAACCAAAGAUACUGGUAAAAGUACUUUUUGUAAUAAAAAAAGUAGCUGAGGGUAUAGAAUACAGAACAGCAAAGAAAGAUUAACAUUCAAUUAUUUUAUGUAAUUAGCCAUCGUCCGUUAUAUUGUACAAUGUUUUAUUAGUCAUCAUCUAUUAUAUUGUACUUUGUUCUGUUUUGGAAAAUAGCUCGUUUCUGCCAAGCUGUUCUGCAUGUUCUGUAGUGUUUAGCUGUGUUCUGCCUGUUGUUGGCUACACUAGGCAGCUACUAGUAGCUAGCUAGCAAAAUAACUGUUAGCUAACCGUAAACUCGUCGAAAUCAAAAAUCCUUGUUUUCAUUUAAUGUAUUUGCAAAACAUUGAGUAUAUUCGUGUUAGCUAAUUAGUCAUGUUUGUCUUCCUUCCACAACAUAAAAAUCCAAAGAGCUAACGUUAUUAGAAAUGUCAGAUCACGUCGAGGUAAUAUAGAUAAUAUCUAAUGACCAUAGGAAUGUAUCAAUAGUUGUAGCUACGUUAGCUAUCAGUCAUAGCUAGGUCUAUGAAAUAUUUACAGCAAAUAAGAUUACCAUCUAAUUGCUAUUCUUACAUAGAGCAUAUUUUCUGUCAAUUGCUGGCAGCACCAUUUCACCAGGUCAAAUUUCUGACACAGGUAAAAUGUACUUGGCAGAUAAAAGGUGAUCCUGAUUCUUGAAAUUAUUGCUUUUGGGAGAAUCUGCUGCCUGAACAUGGCACACAUAGAGCCAGGGGCAGAGGUCCAAGGGUCCGUGGAGGACUGCUGAGGCCCAGUGUAAAGACGGGCCCAUGUAGAGGGCAGUGCAAGAGGAUCAAACAGGGCCAGGAGAGGGAACAGGGGGACAGGUAGAAGGGGCAGAGGCAGAAUCUGGGAAAUAUCCAUGGCUGACAGGGAGAGAGUUGAUCAUCAUCCUCAAGAUAGACUUGCACAGGUGAAGGUGUAUCUUGAACAGCUGUUCGAGAGAAAGAGGCAUGGUGUCUUGAUGAUGCUGGAGAGGACACCAGAAGCAGUUUGAUGUGGUCCAUCUCAUCCAGGGAGGUGGUGGAGGUGCAGAAGGAGGCCCUUUUUGGUGCACCUGUGGCAGGUGUCAAGAAAUGCCAACUGACAUGGAGAAGUGCUGUGGUGGGGGGCCAAAUACCUGCAUCAGUACAACGCUGCACAUACACUUACUGCUUGGAGGCUGGAAACAUCAGGGUUGAUAGUAAUGAUCUAUUAGCCCUGGAUGAGAGCAAAAAACAGGGAGAAGACCAUGCAGUUUUACAGGCAUACUGCCUACCAGCAGUUAAUCUGUUGGCAGCAUGGCACGCUUUCGGCAGGGCCACAGAAUUGUUAUUCCAAGCUGCUGCGCAUCAGAGACACUUUCCCAGACCCUAAUGGCCAGUAUAAAGGAUUCACUCCUGGCAGACUGACCUAAAGAAUUGUCCAUGUAUUUUGAAAUGUUUUGUUUGGUUAUUUUUGUUAAUGUGUUAGCUGUUUAAUAAAACAGCUGAUGUUAGACAAAGGUUGAAUAUAGUGUAAGUGCACUUUGUUUUGUUCCACAAAUAGUUCAAAAUGUUUAUAUGAAACAAUCAUAGAACAAAUAAGACUAACUACAUUUAUUUAGACAUAAAACAACAUUAAUAAGUGACAAAGUAUUCAUAAGGUAUAUUUAUAGGUGGAUGGAGUAGAGGGGACUGCAUAAAACAUUAUCAAUAACAUGAGGUUAGUUAAAAUUGCUAUUAAUAAGAAAAUGUGGUAUAUUUAAUUGAGUAGAUGGGACUGUACAAUAACAUAAUGGUUAUUUGUAAUUGUUAUUUACAAGAAACUAUAGGAACUAAUAGUUAGCUAUUGGUAUUCAGUGUGUAUGGACAUGGGGUUUCCAGUCAUUGUAGCUGUUCAGAUUCUAGGGAGAGGGAGGAAAAGAUACAUCUAGAAACACUCUGUUUGACCGUACUUUUUAAAAAUACUAUCGUAUCACUCAUACAUAGCCCUCAGCUGACAUGUGCCUGAACCAGCUCCUGGAUGGGUGGUGGUGUAAUGUCAGGGAAAAAGGCCAAGAUUACCUGGGUCACUGGCUACACGAGGGAUGAUCCUUGGCAUUCCUACGCUGGAUGCCAACCUCAGGGAUGUAACUGUUGGGUUUUACUGGCCCUGCAAAAAAAAAAAAUACAUCUGUAGUAGCUGAGGGUAUAGAACACAGAACAGCAAAGAAAGAGUAAUUACUAUUACAAUAUCAAGAUAUAACCAAUAGGCAGUAAAAUGUGCUGCUGCACUGAACAAGUUUGGGCAGGUUUUGGUUCUGAUCGGAGUUGUACAUAAUAUAUAUAUAUUUUUUUUUUCUUCCCAUAACGUUAAUCAUGUGUGUUCUCUUGUUUUGACGGUUCUGUAGUUUCGACCCAAUGAUUCGUCUGACAAAAAGAACUUUGCGUACCACAGGCCCAGGCAUGGAUCAAAGCUGGCGAGAUAUUCAAUGACAUCAUCAAGAGAUAUGCUGGACCCUAUGUCAGAGAGGUGUUUUUGGGACCACAUCAUGUCUAUUGUCCUGCUAAUAGCCCUUGUGAAAAACAAGUGUUUGCGUCUUGGUAGGCUGUCUUGUAAAUAAGAAUUUGUUCUUAAUUGACUUGCCUAGUUAAAAUGCAAAAAAAUAUAUAUAUAUAAUACCUCAGGAAUUUACCUGGAGUAGGAGUGAUGCAGUUGUCGCUGACGUGGAUGAGGCAGAGGCUGAAGUGUUUCCACUGUACAAUAUAUCUGUGGAAUGGUUACAGACAGUAUACAGGUCAGAGGUCAAAAGUCUUAUAUGCAAAUAACAGGAUUGGGUUGUGCAACUGAAAGUGGCUCGCUCAAUCUACAUACAUCCCUCCUUUCUCCCUCCCUAGAAGUAAUCACUUAUUAGAAAUGACUAGACAGGUAAAAGCCAUGUAAUGGAGCCCUUGGCUUCACCUGCCCAAUCCUGUCUAAGAAGCGAUUACUUUAAGGAGGGAGGAAGGAGUUGCUCAGUAAUUCAUACCAAACAUCUCAGGUCUCCCAAAGUGCACCUGUUCUCUGCAUGAACAGGUAAUAUGGUGGAGACUCCUUUUAGGCCAUGCAUACGCCAAUCUAAUGCUUUUACAUUUGUGGGGAAUAGUGCAUCUGUGUCCUUCAGGAGAAAUUAGAGUUUGAUGGAAUCACAUGUUAUAAUGAAUAAUUAUAAUGAAUAACAUGUGAUUCCUUAGACAUCCUACCAAAUUAUCUUAUGAUAAUAUAUGGUCAUGAUACCAUCCUCUAUACUCAUGUAUAGUCAUGUUACCAUUAGAAUGACUUAAAAUGAAAUAUUUCACUCACAUAUUAUACUUAUCCAAAGUAUGUCUACAUGAGCAUGUAUAGUGAAUGAUAUGUAGAAUAAAUGAGACAUUUCAAUUGUCA